UACGUAGGGUGCAGGCGUUAAUCGGAAUUACUGGGCGUAAAGCGUGCGCAGGCGGUUUCUUAAGUCAGAUGUGAAAGCCCCGGGCUUAACCUGGGAACUGCGUUUGAAACUGGGAGACUUGAGUGUGGCAGAGGGGGGUGGAAUUCCGACGUGUAGCAGUGGAAAUGCGUAGAUAUGUGGAGGAACACCGAUGGCGAAGGCAGCCCCCUGGGUUAACACUGACGCUCAUGCACGAAAGCGUGGGGAGCAAACAGG
rnacentral:rRNA from 1 species